CUCGCAGAAAAGGAGCUCACAUCUGAAAAACUGAGCAGCUGGGGCUCUUUCUGCAUAAACAAAGGAGGAGACGCUCUGAUACGAACGCCUUUAAGGAGUCUUUUUACACGUCUGACGAACCUUUUAAUAAAGCUACGGGCAGCUAACUUCGCCUUAAGGUCUACUUAUCCUGAAUAUUUUAAUAGCACAGAUUCAUUAUUCAACUCCGUAAAGCAGCUGACUCUCUCCUCCAAGGACACACAGGUGAGACAGGUCACUGCAACACUGUGAGGAUCCAGUUGGCGAGGCGUUUAAAUUAGAAUAUGUCGUCUCACAUGCAGCAGCUGACAGCAGAGAGCCGUGUGCUCAGAUGGACUUGUAUGGAUUGAUGUUGCUUGGACUUGUGACUGGGUCUUUCUCAUCACAGUUGACACAUCACACAAACACCUGCCCCAAACAAUUACGCUGCUGUACCACUUCAACUUCCACGUAGUUGCUUCUCAGAAAGCUCGGCAAGUUUUUUGUCUGGGUCUCCAUCUCCAUGGCAACAAAACAUAAAGAGUUUUAUGAAAAGACAGAAAGGAGUUAAGUUGCAAAGUUAUAUAAUUUCCGGUCCGACUCGUGCAGAAGAGAGUUGACCAGAGACUAUUUUUCACAUGCCCAGCUGAGGAAUGAACAUGUUACAUAUCAGGAUGAAUAGGGAGCUUGCUGCACCGUGCGUGUGUAUGCAGUGUGUGUGAGGACUGCAAGGCCACUUAUCAAACACAGAAGAAUCAGCUCAACACAAAGCAACGGAUAUAAAGCUUAGACCCUGGGCAGGAGAGGCACUUUCAUUUUCUAACAACAACACUUAUUAUCAAGCCCCCUUUGACCGAAACGCCUCCGGCUCCUUCUCUGUUUCUUCCUCUCUUUUCAUCCACUCCUCUCUCCAGUUAAACAUAAUAGCUGAAACAACAUACUUUUAAAUCCCUCUGGGACUUACAGGCAGUGUUUAUGCUUGUGAACACAGACUUAUUGAGUGUAUCAGCAGAAAAAGAAAAGACUGAUAUUUACUCCAUCAUUUCUGUCUGCAGCUCAAUUACACCGGCCCUGACCCUGGUGUCAUUCAAAUCUACUGUGAGCUUUUCUGAUAAUGAACUGCGAUCUAAUCGUUCCUGCAAAAU